AUUGAACGCUGGCGGCAGGCCUAACACAUGCAAGUCGAACGAGUGGCGGACGGGUGAGUAAUGUCUGGGAAACUGCCCGAUGGAGGGGGAUAACUACUGGAAACGGUAGCUAAUACCGCAUACCAUCGGCUGUGCCCAGAUGGGAUUAGCUAGUAGGUGGGGUAAUGGCUCACCUAGGCGCCGAUCCCUAGCUGGUCUGAGCGGAUGACCAGACACACUGGAACUGAGACACGGUCCAGACGCCUACGUGAGGCAGCAGGGGGGAAUUUUGGACAAUGGGGGAAACUCUGAUCCAGCCAUCCCGCGUGUGCGAUGAAGGCCUUAGGGUGGUAAAGCACUUUUGGCAGGAAAGCGGGACCUGCAGAAUAAGCACCGGCUAACGACGUGCCAGCAGCCGCGGUAAUUC
rnacentral:rRNA from 1 species